AUUGAACGCUGGCGGCAGGCCUAAUACAUGCAAGUCGAGCGGAGCUGCGGACGGGUGAGUAAUGCAUAGGAAUCUGCCUGGCAGUGGGGGAUAACGUCCGGAAACGGGCGCUAAUACCGCAUACUAUCAGAUGAGCCUAGGGCGGAUUAGCUAGUUGGUGGGGGAAAGGCCUACCAAGGCGACGUUCCGAAACUGGUCUGCGAGGAGGAUCAGUCACACUGGAACUGGGACACGGUCCAGACUCCUACGGGAGGCAGCAGUGGGGAAUAUUGCACAAUGGGCGCAAGCCUGAUGCAGCCAUGCCGCGUGUAUGAAGAAGGCCUUCGGGCUGUAAAGUACUUUCAGCGGGGAGGCGUUACCCGCAGAAGAAGCACCGGCUAACUCCGUGCCAGCCGCCGCGGUAAUAC
rnacentral:rRNA from 1 species